rnacentral:rRNA from 1 species
GACGAACGCUGGCGGCGUGCCUAACACAUGCAAGUCGAACGGAGAUACGAUUUCGGUUGUAUCUUAGUGGCGAACGGGUGAGUAACGCGUGAACAACCUGACUCUUAGAGGGGGAUAACACUCGGAAACGGGUGCUAAUACCGCAUAAGACCACGACCCGGCAUCGGGAUGAGGUCAAAGGAGCAAUCCGCUGAGAGCGGGGUUCGCGUCCCAUUAGAUAGAUGGCGGGGUAACGGCCCACCAUGUCGAAGAUGGGUAGCCGAGCUGAGAGGCUGAUGGGCCACAAUGGUACUGAGGCACGGUCCAGACGCCUACGGGAGGCAGCAGUGGGGAAUAUUAGGCAAUGGGCGCAAGCCUGACCCAGCAACGCCGCGUGAGGGAAGAAGGCUUUCGGGUUGUAAAACUCUGUCCUUGGUGACGAAACAAAUGACGGUAGCCAAGGAGGAAGCCCCGGCUAACUACGUGCCAGCCGCCGCAGUAA